UACGGAGGGGGCUAGCGUUGUUCGGAUUUACUGGGCGUAAAGCGCACGUAGGCGGUUUGUUAAGUCAGGGGUGAAAUCCUGGAGCUCAACUCCAGAACUGCCUUUGAUACUGGCAAUCUUGAGUCCGGAAGAGGUGAGUGGAACUCCUAGUGUAGAGGUGGAAUUCGUAGAUAUUAGGAAGAACACCAGUGGCGAAGGCGGCUCACUGGUCCGGUACUGACGCUGAGGUGCGAAAGCGUGGGGAGCAAACAGG
rnacentral:rRNA from 1 species